AGUGAACGCUGGCGGUAGGCCUAACACAUGCAAGUCGAACGGCAGCACAGUAAGAGCUUGCUCUUACGGGUGGCGAGUGGCGGACGGGUGAGGAAUACAUCGGAAUCUACUUUUUCGUGGGGGAUAACGUAGGGAAACUUACGCUAAUACCGCAUACGACCUCCGGGUGAAAGCAGGGGAUCUUCGGACCUUGCGCGAUUGAAUGAGCCGAUGUCGGAUUAGCUAGUUGGCGGGGUAAAGGCCCACCAAGGCGACGAUCCGUAGCUGGUCUGAGAGGAUGAUCACCCACACUGGAACUGAGACACGGUCCAGACUCCUACGGGAGGCAGCUGUGGGGAAUAUUGGACAAUUGGCGCAAGCCUGAUCCAGCCAUACCGCGUGGGUGAAGAAGGCCUUCGGGUUGUAAAGCCCUUUUGUUGGGAAAGAAAAGCAGCAGGUUAAUACCCCGCUGUUCUGACGGUACCCAAAGAAUAAGCACCGGCUAACUUCGUG
rnacentral:rRNA from 1 species